AGGGCAAGAGGGGUAUAUACGUAUAUAUCAUCGCACGGUGUGUCCCGGAAGGCUUGAUAUGCUAGUCCCGCGGGACAAGGCGAGCCGAGGAGUUUGUGUGGAAGUUUGCAUCUGAGAGUGCGAGAGCUGGACGGAGUGUUACAGAGCCGCGAUGCCUUCUCGUUUUGUUUUGUUUUGUUUUUGAUACAGUGUCUCGCUCUUCCGCCCAGUCUCGAGUGCAGUGGUGAGAACACGGCUUACUGCAGCCUCAAAAUCCUGGACCCAAAAGAUCCUCCCACCUCAGCCUGCCUCCCAGGUAGCUGGGACUACAGGCGCACAACACCAUCGCUUCUUGGAUUAAAAGAAAAGGAUGAAACGGGCCCCAGAAAGAGGCGGUGACGUCCCAGAACCCAUGGCAGGGGAGUUGGGAAAAUAAAUAUUUGUAUUGUUUUAA
rnacentral:lncRNA from 10 species